GGCGACGAGCCCAGGAAGGCCGGUGGGGUUGCAAACUCCGCUGUCGCGCGGUUCGAUUCCGCCCGUCGCCU
rnacentral:tRNA from 1 species